UGGCGGUAAUGGACCAUAAUAUUGGAUACCAAACGCCGAUAAACCCCACCGAAGAAGACGGAAAAGUGCUUAGUGAUUUCAACGCAUACCUCGGAGCUCCGGUAUCAAAUCCUGAACGGCAGCCCGGAGUUUCAGGAUAAGACGGUGAACGCGCUGUGUUGAUUUCGGACAACAAGUUUCUGAUCAAAACAGUCAUGGAGAUGUUACUGUGGGUGUUAGGGUGUUGCUGCUGCUGUUCUCCAGUCUGGAUGUGUGGUACUUCGUGCGUGCGGCGGUCACGGUGGUCAGGGCCUGGUUCCAGAAGCCGGUGUGGGACGUCCUGGGGGAACAGAGUGUGUCGGGGCGCGUCCUGCUUCACGAUAUCGACCUGGGACACAUGAACAAUGCCAGAUACCUCCGGGAGUGUGACUUCGCCAGGUUAGAUGGGUCCCAGGAAGCUGAGUUCUCUGUUAGUUUUAACGUAUUCCUUUACCCCAGUAGCUCCUAACCCCUAGAGGAUUCCUUUACCUCAGUAGCUCCUAACCCUUAGAGGAUUCCUUUACCCCAGUAGCUCCUAACCCCUAGAGGAUUCCUUUACCCCAGUAGCUCCUAACCCCUAGAGGAUUCCUUUACCUCAGUAGCUCCUAACCCCUAGAGGAUUCCUUUACCCCAGUAGCUCCUAAC